ensembl:lncRNA
CCUCCCUGUUGGGAGAAGAAAAACCCAACCACCAAACAAACCCCUCACAACAAUGCCCUUCUCUCUGGGACCAAUUUCCAGACUGCACAGCAGUCCUGACAAGGUCAACAAGCUGGAGCGGAACCCCCCUCAUUCAGCCAUGGAACCUCCUAUGAAGUGGUCCUUCUCACCAUCCCCAGGCCAAGUUUCUGUAAGGUUUGGAAAAACACCAGAUUCUUUAACCUGGUAUUUCGUGCCCAGCAUCAUGACCUCUCUGGUGAUCCAGUGGUUAAGAAUAUGCCUUCCAAUGCAGGAGAUACGGUCCAGAUCUCUGAUCGGGAAACUAAGAUCCCACGUGCCUAGCAGCAACUAAGCCCAUACACCACAACUACUGAGCCCGUGUGCCGAAAGCCUGUGCUCCGCAACAAGAGAAGAGUAGCCCGCACGCGGCAACUAGAGAAGGCCUGCAAGCACAUAGCAGUGAAGACCCAGAGCAGCCAAAAAUGAC